ACUCAAAUGAAUAGACGGGGACCCGCACAAGCGGUGGAGCGUGUUGUUUAAUUCGAUACUAAACGAAGAACCUUAUCCAAGGCUUGACAUCCUGGGAAUUUUUUCGAAAGAAAAAAGUGCCUUCGGGAAUCCAGUGACAGGUGUUGCAUGGCCGUCGUCAGCUCGUGUCGUGAGAUGUUUGGUUAAGUCCAUCAACGAGCGCAACCCUUAUGGUUAGUUGAAUUUCUCUAGCCAGACUGCCCCGGUAACGGGGAGGAAGGAGGGGAUGAUGUCAGGUCCGUAUUACCCUUAUGCCUUGGGCUACAGACACGCUACAAUGGCCGGUACAAAGGGCAGCCAACCCGCGAGGGGGAGCAAAUCCCAUCAAAGCCGGUCUCAGUUCGGAUUGUAGGCUGAAACUCGCCUGCAUGAAGCCGGAAUCGCUAGUAACGGUAGGUCAGCAUACUACCGUGAAUACGUUCCCGGGUCUUGUACACACCGCCCGU
rnacentral:rRNA from 1 species